UGUUUAGUUUCCUUUUGCAAUAAUCCAACAAUUUUCUCAUAGCCAACUUCCUUCCUCUAAGCAUCUGCAAGUCUUUAUUUUUCCAUGGCUAUGCAUAAGAUCCUGCAAAGGGGUCGUCCAUUCUUCAAUUCUCCUCUGAAACUUGCCUCUUCACCUUCUUCAGCUUCUCACACAUUUCCCUCUUCUGGUCAUGAAUCUCUUCAUGUUCGGGAAAUCACAAACACAAGAGAAGUUAGGAAUGAAUUUGGCAAAUACCAUAUAAAAGAUUUAUCUCAAUGCCUCAACUGGACUUCAAGGCCACAUUACUGUAGUCAUGGCUAUGUGGUAAAUCGUCAUUUUGCAUCUGAUCACAAUGAUAUAUGUACAAAGGGGUUCUCAAGUAAGCUUCUUAAAACUAUUCCAUACCAUGUAAAGAUAGUGGAGGUUGGUGCAAGGGAUGGAUUGCAAAACGAGAAGGCUAUUAUUCCUACUAAUAUAAAAGUUGAGUUAAUACAACUACUGGUUUCUUCUGGGUUGUCUGUUGUUGAGGCAACAAGUUUUGUCUCACCAAAAUGGGUACCCCAGUUGGCAGAUGCAAAGGAUGUGUUGGCAGCAAUUCAAAACGUUGAAGGUGCUAGGUUUCCUGUCUUGACUCCCAACAUUAAAGGUUUUGAGGCAGCUGUUGCUGCUGGAGCUAAAGAAGUGGCUGUUUUUCCUGCAGCUUCUGAAUCAUUCUCAAAAGCAAAUCUAAAUUGUGGCAUUGAAGAUAAUCUUGCCCGUUGUCGUGAUAUUGCUUCAGCUGCUGGAAGUCUCUCGAUCCCAGUUCGCGGAUAUAUAUCAUGUGUUGUGGGAUGUCCCCUGGAAGGAAGUAUUGCCCCAGAGAAAGUAGCAUAUGUGGCAAAAUCACUGUAUGAGAUGGGUUGCGCAGAGAUUUCGCUGGGUGAUACAAUUGGUGUUGGCACACCUGGUACUGUAGUUCCGAUGCUUGAAGCUGUACUUGACGUUGUUCCAACUGACAUGGUUGCUGUCCAUUUUCACGAUACUUACGGUCAGGCACUUUCAAAUAUUUUAAUUUCACUUCAGAUGGGUAUCAGCACAGUGGAUUCAUCUGUUGCUGGUCUUGGAGGUUGUCCAUAUGCCAAGGGUGCAACUGGGAAUGUAGCCACUGAGGAUGUCGUUUACAUGCUGAAUGGACUUGGAGUGAAAACAAAUGUGGACCUUGGAAGGCUUAUGCUAGCUGGGGAUUUCAUUUGCAAACAUUUAGGACGUGCAUCUGGUUCCAAAGCAGCUACUGCUUUGAGUAAAGUUACUAGUCAUGCCUCCAAACUAUGAGUAACUAAAGCUAGUCAUGCACCUGCAUGAUAGGUACAUUGUUUGCCCACUGUUGCGUAUGCAUUAUGUUGGUGUUUCCUGUCCAGUGGGCCCUGCCAUUAGAAAGAGAGAGCCAGCAAAACACAAAUAUAUGCAAAACAUAUUGAAAUGUUUGAUAUCUUAUAAUGAGUUGAAGUGAACUUCAUACUAUCCAAUUCACCACAUGAGACUACAUCAAGUGCAUGUUCCAAAUUUUGGCUGUUGGUGAUGGCAUGUGGAAGCAAAGAAUUAUCAGUAUCCUGUGUUACUGUGACACUAAAUGAACUUUAUGGUGGUGUGCUACGUACCAAACCAGCUCUAGAACUAUACACAUUCUGCUAAUGCAGAAUUAAGAGAAAUGCUCAUUAAAUUAAUUUUACCCAGUGAAGACAAAAAAACGCAAGGAAAUGGGCAUUUUAGCAAAGAGGGUCAAGUUUAAAAUAGUUGAACUCAUGAACAAUGGUUAAAAGAAGGUUGCAUUUUUCACAUAAGAUGAACAUAUAAACUGAUGAGUAGUUGUAAAACAGAAAUCCUUUUAAGCAAAAAACAAAAAAGGGGUUUCAUUGCAAUGUAAUAAAUGUACGUACAUAAAGCUAUAUCACAAUAUUCAUUACUGAAUAAUGUAUUAUUAUGGUGAUUUUACAUGCGGGCUAGCCAUACACACUUUCUUCUGUGAGCCAGCAAGAACUUAGCUAAAUAGAGAAAACCUGAUGAUGUCUGUAAGAAUCCUGGAAGCAUGCAAACAAACACAUCCAUCAUCAUGGCAUUACCUUACCUUACCUAACCAAUAUUCGCUCCAUCGCACCAACAACAAGCACAAAAAAAAAAAUAAAAAUAAUAGUUUUCAUAUAUCUGAAAACAUAUCAUCAUCAUCAACAACAUCAUCACCAUCAUCUUCAUCAUCAUAUAUACCAUUUCUCUUCAAAAAUAGUUUUAACUAUAUGUUCUCUUAUCAUGAACAAUAUAAUCUCAAACCUAAGAAUUUUCAUAUACAUCUGUGAACUUACCGAGGGGAAAAGGAAAAACACUUAUAAAGCACAAAAAAUGCUUUGAAAAUGUAGUAAUAAUAUUAAGAAAGAAAAAAAGAGGAAGACAAAAUUAAGAAAUAGGAUUUGACGACUGGAAACAUUGAGGAUGUCUCUUCAGGUAACUUAUCUGUUGUGUAGAGGAUUAGGACCUGUGUACACUUUCCUUUUGUCUGCACCAAAAACUUGGUCUCCCUCUUUGUGUGCACCGUUUCCUUGAAGGUCUGCUGCACCAGGGAAGUUAAAGGGUUUGAACUCAGAAGCAGAAGAAGCACCUUUGAAUCUCUGAAAUCUGGCUUUCCCUGCUGCUGCGUGACAUGGGGUGGUCCUCAAGAGUAAGAGCAGAAGAAGAAGAAGCAGAAAGAGGAUAAGAAAGCUCAUCUUUUGGUUCUUGCUCUUCACACAAAUCAUUGCAUAGGGAAAUAUGGCACUACCCUGGUUGUUUUUGGUCUCCUAUUUUAUGUGGGUGUGUGGUUGAGAGAUGAAAAACCCUUUUGGUUUUGGUUAUGUUAUCAAGAAAAAGAAGCUUUUUGGUGGGGAUUUAUCUUUUGUAUAGGAGCCUAGAAGUUUGAAGAGUAGGAAAGUCAAUGCAAGGAGAGAGCCAACAUGCAUAGAACUUGCUGCCAAGUCUCUUAGUAUAUAGAAAAUGUCUGGUACAAAUUUCAGAGCCAAGUUUUUUCUGUUUUUGUUUUUGUUUUUGCUGAGAAAGAAAGAAAGGCAAAGACAAACACCACACAGCUCAGUGAGAGAGAAAGAGAGAGAAAUUUUGUUGGUGUUUGAGUCGGAGAAAGUGGGAAUGAAUGAACUACAGAAGAAGGACGGAGAGUUUCUUAAACUCACUCUCAUGUCAGAUUAAUCAUUUUCUUAAUCUACUUUUUCAACAUAAAUAAACAUAUUCUUUCAACCACA